rnacentral:rRNA from 1 species
GGGCCCGCACAAGCGGUGGAGCAUGUGGUUUAAUUCGAUGAUACGCGAGGAACCUUACCAGGGCUUAAAUGUAGUGGGACAGGUCUAGAGAUAGACCCUUCUUCGGACUCAUUACAAGGUGCUGCAUGGUUGUCGUCAGCUCGUGCCGUGAGUGUCAGGUUAAGUCCUAUAACGAGCGCAACCCCUAUCGUUAGUUGCCAGCGAGUAAUGUCGGGAACUCUAACGAAACUGCCAGUGCAAACUGUGAGGAAGGUGGGGGAUGACGUCAAAUCAUCACGGCCCUUAUGGGGCUGGGCUACACACGUGCUACCAAUGGCAGUGACAGAGGGACGCUACCUCGCGAGAGGAUG